rnacentral:rRNA from 1 species
GAUGAACGCUGGCGGCGUGCCUAAUACAUGCAAGUCGAGCGAACGGACGAGAAGCUUGCUUUUCUGAUGUUAGCGGCGGACGGGUGAGUAACACGUGGAUAACCUACCUAUAAGACUGGGAUAACUUCGGGAAACCGGAGCUAAUACCGGAUAAUAUUUUGAACCGCAUGGUUCAAAAGUGAAAGACGGUCUUGCUGUCACUUAUAGAUGGAUCCGCGCUGCAUUAGCUAGUUGGUAAGGUAACGGCUUACCAAGGCAACGAUGCAUAGCCGACCUGAGAGAGUGAUCGGCCACACUGGAACUGAGACACGGUCCAGACUCCUACGGGAGGCAGCAGUAGGGAAUCUUCCGCAAAGGGCGAAAGCCUGACGGAGCAACGCCGCGUGAGUGAUGAAGGUCUUCGGAUCGUAAAACUCUGUUAUUAGGGAAGAACAUAUGUGUAAGUAACUGUGCACAUCUUGACGGUACCUAAUCAGAAAGCCACGGCUAACUACGUG